GGCAAGAUGGCCGAGCGGUCUAAGGCGCCAGACUCAAGUUUAAUAUGUUUAACCUUGUCUCCUCAUUCACAGAGGAGGUCCUAUUCUGGUCACGAAAGUGGCAGGGGUUCGAAUCCCCUUCUUGUCA